GGAUCCUUCUGCAACCGCAGCAAUGUCAGCGAUACGGCCCCUUAAGCCGGAUGUCGGAGGUUCGAGCCCUCCAGGGGACACCA
rnacentral:tRNA from 1 species